rnacentral:tRNA from 1 species
GCCGACGUAGCUCAAUCGGCAGAGCACCCGCCUUGUAAGCGGGAGGUUACGAGUUCGAUUCUCGUCGUCGGCUCAA